UACGUAGGGAGCAAGCGUUGUCCGGAAUCAUUGGGCGUAAAGCGCGCGUAGGCGGCCCUGUAAGUCCGCUGUGAAAGUCAAAGGCUCAACCUUUGAAAGCCGGUGGAUACUGCAGGGCUAGAGUCCGGAAGAGGCGAGUGGAAUUCCUGGUGUAGCGGUGGAAUGCGCAGAUAUCAGGAGAACACCAAUAGCGAAGGCAGCUCGCUGGGACGGUACUGACGCUAAGGCGCGAAAGCGUGGGGAGCGAACAGG
rnacentral:rRNA from 1 species